rnacentral:tRNA from 1 species
UCCGUGGGUUCGUGGUCGAGUGGUAAGGACAUUUGCCUCUCACCCUGUAGUCCUGGGUUCAAUCCCCAGUCGAGGAG